rnacentral:rRNA from 1 species
GACGAACGCUGGCGGCGUGCCUAAUACAUGCAAGUCGAGCGGAUGGAAGGAAGCUUGCUUCCUAAAGUCAGCGGCGGACGGGUGAGUAACACGUGGGCAACCUGCCCCUAAGAUCGGGAUAACUUCGGGAAACCGGAGCUAAUACCGGAUAUGAUUAUGUCUCACAUGUGACAUAAUGGAAAGACGGUUUCGGCUGUCACUUAGGGAUGGGCCCGCGGCGCAUUAGCUAGUUGGGGAGGUAACGGCUCACCAAGGCGACGAUGCGUAGCCGACCUGAGAGGGUGAUCGGCCACACUGGGACUGAGACACGGCCCAGACUCCUACGGGAGGCAGCAGUAGGGAAUCUUCCGCAAUGGACGAAAGUCUGACGGAGCAACGCCGCGUGAGUGAAGAAGGUUUUCGGAUCGUAAAACUCUGUUGUUAGGGAAGAACAAGUACCAUAGUAACUGAUGGUACCUUGACGGUACCUAACCAGAAAGCCACGGCUAACUACGUGCCAGCCGCCGCUGUAA